rnacentral:misc_RNA from 1 species
GAUGAAGAACGUAGCGAAAUGCGAUACUUGGUGUGAAUUGCAGAAUCCCGUGAACCAUCGAGUCUUUGAACGCAAGUUGCGCCCGAAGCCAUUAGGCCGAGGGCACGCCUGCCUGGGCGUCACACGUCGUUGCCCCCCCAUCUACUCCUUCGGGAUUGCGGGGGGCGGAUGAUGGCCUCCCGUGCGCCUCGUCGCGCGGUUGGCAUAAAUGCCAAGUCCUCGGCGACGCACGCCCCGACCAUCGGUGGUUGCGAAACCUCGGUUGCCCGUCGUGUGCGGUCGUCGCGCAUCGAGGGCUCGAAAAAAUUGCCGGGCUCCGGCUCGGCUUUCAACGCGACCCCAGGUCAGGCGGGGUUACCCGCUGAAUUUAAGCAUAUCAAUAAGCGGAGGA